UAGCCUGCCCACUGAUUUGUUUUAAAGGGCCGCGGUAUAUUGACCGUGCGAAGGUAGCAUAAUCAUUAGUCUUUUAAUUGGAGGCUUGUAUGAAUGGUUGGACAAAAAGUAAGCUGUCUCGGUUAUAAUAAUUGAACUUAACUUUUAAGUGAAAAGGCUUAAAUGUUUCAGGGGGACGAUAAGACCCUAUAAAGCUUGACAAUAAUUUCGUUAUAUUAUAAAUUGUUAGUAUAACUUGAUUUUAACGGGAGUUUGUUUCGUUGGGGCGACGGGAAUAUAAUAAAUAACUGUUCUUUUAAAUAUAAUUACAAAAAUACUUGGUAAAUAAUUGAUCCUCUAUUAGAGAUUAAAAGAUUAAGUUACUUUAGGGAUAACAGCGUAAUCUUCUUUGAGAGUCCACAUCGACAAGAAGGUUUGCGACCUCGAUGUUGAAUUAAGGUAUCCUUAUAAUGCACAGUUAUAAAGGA
rnacentral:rRNA from 1 species